AGUGGACGCUGGCGGUAGGCCUAACACAUGCAAGUCGAACGGCAGCACAGUAAGAGCUUGCUCUUACGGGUGGCGAGUGGCGGACGGGUGAGGAAUACAUCGGAAUCUACUUUUUCGUGGGGGAUAACGUAGGGAAACUUACGCUAAUACCGCAUACGACCUACGGGUGAAAGCAGGGGAUCUUCGGACCUUGCGCGAUUGAAUGAGCCGAUGUCGGAUUAGCUAGUUGGCGGGGUAAAGGCCCACCAAGGCGACGAUCCGUAGCUGGUCUGAGAGGAUGAUCAGCCACACUGGAACUGAGACACGGUCCAGACGCCUACGGGAGGCAGCAGUGGGGAAUAUUGGACAAAGGGCGCAAGCCUGAUCCAGCCAUACCGCGUGGGUGAAGAAGGCCUUCGGGUUGUAAAGCCCUUUUGUUGGGGAAGAAAAGCAGCAGGUUAAUACCCCGCUGUUCUGACGGUACCCAAAGAAUAAGCACCGGCUAACUUCGUG
rnacentral:rRNA from 1 species